rnacentral:rRNA from 1 species
CGUAGGUGAACCUGCGGAGGGAUCAUUACCGAGUUAUACAACUCAUCAACCCUGUGAACAUACCUAUAACGUUGCCUCGGCGGGAACAGACGGCCCCGUAACACGGGCCGCCCCCGCCAGAGGACCCCCUAACUCUGUUUCUAUAAUGUUUCUUCUGAGUAAACAAGCAAAUAAAUUAAAACUUUCAACAACGGAUCUCUUGGCUCUGGCAUCGAUGAAGAACGCAGCGAAAUGCGAUAAGUAAUGUGAAUUGCAGAAUUCAGUGAAUCAUCGAAUCUUUGAACGCACAUUGCGCCCGCCAGUAUUCUGGCGGGCAUGCCUGUUCGAGCGUCAUUACAACCCUCAGGCCCCCGGGCCUGGCGUUGGGGAUCGGCGGAAGCCCCCUGCGGGCACAACGCCGUCCCCCAAAUACAGUGGCGGUCCCGCCGCAGCUUCCAUUGCGUAGUAGCUAACACCUCGCAACUGGAGAGCGGCGCGGCCACGCCGUAAAACACCCAACUUCUGAAUGUUGACCUCGAAUCAGGUAGGAAUACCCGCUGAACUUAAGCAUAUCAAUAAGCGGAGGAA